rnacentral:misc_RNA from 1 species
CCUCUGGAUAGUCACAUACCCAGUUUAGAGCAUCUUCGGAUGGAAGGGGGCAAUCCAUUAAACAUAUACUCCGAGCAUUGGCCAACUUGAAUUGGCUGUUCUUCAAACCACUAAGAUAGACCUGGUUCGGAUUUAACCAAUAUGUAAGCUCCAAUUCGCGAAGAUUCGGAUUUGCAUGCUUAUCACCACACACAUUUCCUUUAUAAUCCAGCCCAUAGGUAAGCCUUAAGGGGUUUCCUUGGUUAAAUCCAAAGCUGGAGUUUACAAUCAUGGCAACCCAAAAUGCUAUAAAAAUGACAAGAAACACAACAUCUCUGC